rnacentral:rRNA from 1 species
GACAUAGGUGGCAAACGUUAUCCGGAAUUACUGGGUGUAAAGGGUUCGUAGGCGGUGCGGCAAGUUGGGAGUGAAAUCUCUGGGCUUAACCCAGAGGCUGCUUCCAAAACUGCUGUGCUUGAGUGUGGGAGAGGCGCGUGGAAUUGCAGGUGUAGCGGUGAAAUGCGUAGAUAUCUGCAGGAACACCCGUGGCGAAAGCGGCGCGCUGGACCACUACUGACGCUGAGGAACGAAAGCUAGGGGAGCAAACAGG